AUUAAUAAUAGCGAAAAUUUAAUAAAUUAAAAAAAAAAGAAAAAACAUAUUUUUUUAUUUAUUUAUUUUGCCUUUUUGUGGCAUUUAAUUCAAAAAUAUAUCGGGACGAUUAAAGUUAUAAGGAAAAAUAAAUUGUUGUUGUUAUUUGAAUGCUAAUUUAAAAGCAAAACAAAAAAAAAACGGAUUAAAAACGCGUUAAAAUAAAAUUUUAAAAGCAAAUAAGUGUUUUUAUUUUUGACAUUCUCAUCUUUUUUAUUUUUUGUCCAUCUUUAAAUAUUUCUUAUUAAUUUUUUUCUAAUUAAUUUUUAAUUUCUUUCCGUUUUCUAUCAAUAAAAUCACAAAGAUGUGCAAAAUAUCCUAGUUCAAUUUAAUUUUCCUUCCACGUCCAUUUUUAUUUAUUUUUUAUUUUUCUUUAUUUUCGGGAUAACCCGAACUUAUUUGUUGUCUCAAUCCUUUUUUGUGCUACAAACCGUAACCUUUUAACCUCGUUUUGAAAUUCCUUUGUUUCUCUCUUCAUUUUCAGUUUAUUGAGUUUUAUUUUUUUUAUUUUCAUUCUUUUUAAUGUUUAUCCUUGCUCCUUUUUUCAAUAUUUAUUUUAACUGAAAUUUGAAUGUUUUAUACAUUUUUUCUUUUUUCUUAUUUUUAGUUAUUUAUUCCGUACAGUAAUAAUCUUUCUUUGUUAGAAUUUCACUUCAAACCGUUUUCUUUUAAUUUUUUGUUUUGUUUAAUUUUUAUUUCAUAUCUUCAAUUUAUUAUCCUUUUUUUUAUAUUUUUUGUGAUAUCUUUAAGAAUAUAGUAGAAAACCACUGGAUUCUUUUGUUUUUUUUCGUUUACUUUUUUAUUAUUUUGUUUUUUGUGCUAAUAACCAUUGUCGUUGGUAUUCGCCGUUGUUUACUCUACACAAAAAUUAAAAAAAAAAGUAAGAAAAUAUCAAAGUAUAAAAAAAAACGAAAAACCAAAAUGCACUUGAGUCAUAUCUGUUGGUAGAAACCCAAUAUAAAAAAAAUAACCCAAAAGAAAAGAAUAAUAGUAGACAAAAAAAAAAUGGAAAAAAUUUAUUGUUCUAAUGUAAUAAUAACAAUAAUAAUAAUAUCAAAUAUUGUUAAUUUUUUUUUCUCAAAAUUACCUCCAAAUUUUUUCCAAUUUUUAUAAUUUAACUCACAUAAAAUUAGAGUAUAUUUAUAUGUAUAUAUAAGAAGCAUGAUUACCAUAAAAAUAUAAUGGCAAUAUUCCUUCGAAACUCGAAAAUGAUUAAGAAAAAGUUGAACAUGUUAUACACUUAAAGAAAGAUUCUUCAUUAAAAUUUCGUAUAUACCCGUACUUGAACUCAUUUUUAAUUUACAAGAAAAAAAAAUACAAAAAAUAAAAAGUAAAUAAUAUCAAAAAUUUUAUUUUUUCACACAACAUUCAAACAUACACACAUAAACUUGUUUGAAUAAUAUUUUAAACAAAAACAAAACGGAAACAACAAAAUGUAUGAAUGUAUGUAUGUAUAACUGAAUGUAAAUUAAAAAAAAAAUAAAAAAUAAUUGCAAAAUGUAUUCAAAUAAUUUUUAUAAUCAAAUAAAAUUUAUUGAAAUUCAAAAUAAACAAAAAAUAAAACUACAAUAAUUUUUUAUUCGUGUUUGAAAAAUAUUAAAAAAAAAAAAAAAUAAAAUGUAGGAAAAAUUUAAAUUAUAAAAAACUGUGGUAAAGAUGAAGAAAAUUAAAAUGAAAAUUUGAUUAUAAAUAAAAAAUAAAUUUUUUUUUUUUUGAAAAUAUAAAAAGGAUAAUAAAAAACAAAAUCAAUAUUCAACCUUUAAGGGAAAAAGUUUUAUUUCAUAAGUUCAGCACAAAAUUUUGUUCAACGAUGUGGUCACCAGAAUCAGAAAUUAAUGCAAUCGCAAUGGCAACAAUGCGGCAUUCAACAUCUGCAUCUUCUGGUUUGUAUACAUGCUUAUUUAAUUUAAUUUUUAUAAUAUAAAUUAUUUAUGAUUACAUUUAUAAAAAUGGCGUACAUAACAACGAGAAUGCUAUAAUAUUUUUAUAAAUUUAUUUAACCUUCUCUAUCUACAUCCAUUUUUAGUAACAUUACAUACUUACAGCCGGGUAUAUCACACCAACUAUAAAGCUAAGAACUCCAGUUGUAUUUAAACGAAUUUGUCAUUUUUUCAUAAACCGUUAUUUAUUUUCGUUGUUUUUCUCUUUUAGCUUUAAAAAAAAGGGAUUUUUCAAUAUUGUGAAAUUAAAAAGACCUGCAUGUAUCCUUAUAUAAUAUCCUUAUAAUAUAAUAUAGCAAAUUUUCAAAGAGCAUACGAGAAAAUUAAAAAAUAAACAUUAUUUCUUAUUUUUUAAAUAUAACUUUAA